rnacentral:rRNA from 1 species
CAGUCGCCACGGGAAUACGAAGGGUGCAAGCGUUACUCGGAAUUACUGGGCGUAAAGCGUGCGUAGGUGGUGGUUUAAGUCCGUUGUGAAAGCCCUGGGCUCAACCUGGGAAUUGCAGUGGAUACUGGGUCACUAGAGUGUGGUAGAGGAUAGUGGAAUUUCCGGUGUAGCAGUGAAAUGCGUAGAGAUCGGAAGGAACAUCUGUGGCGAAGGCGACUAUCUGGGCCAACACUGACACUGAGGCACGAAAGCGUGGGGAGCAAACAGGAUUAGAUACCCCCGUAGUCCCUGUCUCUUAUAA